rnacentral:rRNA from 1 species
UGAACGCUAGCGGGAUGCCUUACACAUGCAAGUCGAACGGCAGCGCGGACUUCGGUCUGGCGGCGAAUGGCGAACGGGUGAGUAAUGUAUCGGAACGUGCCUAGUAGCGGGGGAUAACUACUCGAAAGAGUGGCUAAUACCGCAUACGCCUACGGGGAAAGGGGGGAGUCGCAAGACCUCUCACUAUUAGAGCGGCCGAUAUCGGAUUAGCUAGUUGGUGAGGUAAAGGCUCACCAAGGCGACGAUCCGUAGCUGGUUUGAGAGGACGACCAGCCACACUGGGACUGAGACACGGCCCAGACUCCUACGGGAGGCAGCAGUGGGGAAUUUUGGACAAUGGGGGAAACCCUGAUCCAGCCAUUCCGCGUGUGCGAUG